rnacentral:rRNA from 1 species
AUUGAACGCUGGCGGCAGGCCUAACACAUGCAAGUCGAACGAGUGGCGGACGGGUGUGUAAUGUCUGGGAAACUGCCUGAUGGAGGGGGAUAACUACUGGAAACGGUAGCUAAUACCGCAUACCAUCAGAUGUGCCCAGAUGGGUUUAGCUUGUUGGUGGGGUAACGGCGAACCAAGGCGACGAUCCCUAGCGGGUCUGAGAGGAUGACCGGCCACACUGGAAGUGAGACAGGGUCCGGACGCCUACGGGAGGCAGAAGUGGGGAAUAUUGCACAAUGGGCGAAAGCCUGAUGCAGCCAUGCCGCGUGUAUGAAGAAGGCCUUCGGGUUGUAAAGUACUUUCAGCGGGGAGGCGUUACCCGCAGAGGAAGCACCGGCUAACUCCGUGCCAGCAGCCGCGGUAAUUC